UAUUAUUAGAUUUUAUAAAUUAAAUAAUUAUUAAUUAUUAGUUUUUAAUUAAAUUAAAAUUAAAUUAUUUGGCGGUAUUUUUUAUAAUUAGAGGAUUUUGUUUAUUAAUUGAUAUUCCACAUUAUUAAUUUACUUAAUUUAAUUAAAUUGUAUACUAUUGUCAUAAAAAGAUUGUUAAAAUUAAUUUUUAAUAAUUAUUUAUAUAAUAUGUCAAAUCAAAGUGCAUUUUAUAAUUAAGAUUAAAAUGAAAUACAAUAAAAUUAUUUUUGAAUUAUUAUUUAAAAAAUUUUAUUGAAAUUGGAUUUAAUAGUAAAUUUAUAUAUGUAUAUGUGUUGAAUAAAUUUUAAAAUAUGUACAUAUUGCCCGUCGCUUUUAAUAAAAAUUAAAAUAA
rnacentral:rRNA from 1 species